AGAGUUUGAUUAUGGCUCAGAUUGAACGCUGGCGGCAGGCCUAACACAUGCAAGUCGAGCGGUAGAGAGAAGCUUGCUUCUCUUGAGAGCGGCGGACGGGUGAGUAAUGCCUAGGAAUCUGCCUGGUAGUGGGGGAUAACGUUCGGAAACGGACGCUAAUACCGCAUACGUCCUACGGGAGAAAGCAGGGGACCUUCGGGCCUUGCGCUAUCAGAUGAGCCUAGGUCGGAUUAGCUAGUUGGUGAGGUAAUGGCUCACCAAGGCGACGAUCCGUAACUGGUCUGAGAGGAUGAUCAGUCACACUGGAACUGAGACACGGUCCAGACUCCUACGGGAGGCAGCAGUGGGGAAUAUUGGACAAUGGGCGAAAGCCUGAUCCAGCCAUGCCGCGUGUGUGAAGAAGGUCUUCGGAUUGUAAAGCACUUUAAGUUGGGAGGAAGGGCAGUUACCUAAUACGUGAUUGUUUUGACGUUACCGACAGAAUAAGCACCGGCUAACUCUGUGCCAGCAGCCGCGGUAAUACAGAGGGUGCAAGCGUUAAUCGGAAUUACUGGGCGUAAAGCGCGCGUAGGUGGUUAGUUAAGUUGGAUGUGAAAUCCCCGGGCUCAACCUGGGAACUGCAUUCAAAACUGACUGACUAGAGUAUGGUAGAGGGUGGGUGGAAUUUCCUGUGUAGCGGUGAAAUGCGUAGAUAUAGGAAGGAACACCAGUGGCGAAGGCGACCACCUGGACUGAUACUGACACUGAGGUGCGAAAGCGUGGGGAGCAAACAGGAUUAGAUACCCUGGUAGUCCACGCCGUAAACGAUGUCAACUAGCCGUUGGGAGCCUUGAGCUCUUAGUGGCGCAGCUAACGCAUUAAGUUGACCGCCUGGGGAGUACGGCCGCAAGGUUAAAACUCAAAUGAAUUGACGG
rnacentral:rRNA from 1 species